AGGCCAAAACUACCCAAUUGUAGCCGUCGUCAGCCAUGGUCGACCCAAAUGUAGGGACUUAAAUAAAAAGCCUAAUAAUUCACCCUAAAAUCGUUCAAGUCGUGGCGGAGGAGAAGCGACAUUAUUGAAUCGUUCUCCAAUUGCAAGGUUGGCCAACUCCAAUAUGAGUAGCAACGCGUCAAAUCAACUAUUCUUCGUCGUUUGUGGUUUUCUCUUAAAAAAUAUCAUCAACAGGUUGUGCACCGGAGGAAAUCUGCACCUUCUCUAUGAGGCGAAGACAGGUAAAGAGGUGGAUCAGCUACGACUAUUGACGAUGGGGCAACUAUAGGAGUUGCAGCGGCUGCUGUGGAUGGAGCAACUGCAGGAGGUGUUGCGGCUACUGGUGGAGCCGCUAGAGGGAUACUAGAAAUUGCGGUUUCAUGACCGGUAGUUACAGACUUACAGGUGGUGGGGAUGCUGAUUCCGUCUCUCCAUCUCUUUAAAUAGUAAAAGAAAAUAAGACAAAACUUAAAGUAAUGUAACAAGAUAGGUGGGUUAAGAGUGGUAUGUCAGGUUGGGAUAACAAGUCCAAAGAGGCAUCUUUUAUAAUCUUUUUUACUGGGAUGGGGAUUUAAAACAAACAGGUCCAGAUCGACCAAAAACACUCUUAUGUCCAAAAUUAAAAUUUUCAUAUUUAUGAACGGUAUAUUUUGCUCCUAAAUGCAGAAAUUAGAGUAGACGGUGCAGAAUGACGGUUAUAUUAUGUCAUUUCAACUUACGCACUCUCGAGAUUGUUCACAUGUAUAUAAAUCCAGAACUAUGGAUAUUGAUGUUUUUUAUAGGCUCAUUUUUUUGUUAUGGAAUAGUAAGCAACUGAAUUGCAUUAAUUUUAAGUUUAUUUUGAAUUUCUGAUGAAUGCUUGAUCGUCUUCAUCCCUAAAUCUGUUUUGCAUAGCACACCGCACCCAGCACUUGUCCCCGCCACACCCCGGCUUGCUAUUGAUUUUGACCAAGCGAAACAUGGAGAUUUUGAAUUCGUGACACACAUGACUUGUGUCUGAGCCUCUGCACUUGAAACCUCAAGACCGACAUCAUCAUGGGAAGGUAGAGGUGGCAGAGAAGGAUUCGAUGGAAUUUUCUAGGGGACAAGGUUUUGGACUGGCAAUGGAAUCACUUAUUUCAUACCUUGCUGAUGAUGAUCUGUUUCAUCCGCUGCUAAUGCUGGGACAAGAUCAACGGAUCAUUGGCAAAUUUAUCAGAUGUUAGUAAUUGGGAUCAUAUGAAGUGGCUAUUGGAAUGUUUAGAAAUUGUUGAUACUUCUGUUAUUUUAUUGCCACCUUUUUUUUUUUUUUUUUUUUGUAAUUUAGGACUAAUCUUGAUAAGGUUG